rnacentral:rRNA from 1 species
AUUGAACGCUGGCGGCAUGCCUUACACAUGCAAGUCGAACGGCAGCACGGGAGCAAUCCUGGUGGCGAGUGGCGAACGGGUGAGUAAAGUAUCGGAACGUGCCCAGUCGUGGGGGAUAACGUAGCGAAAGUUACGCUAAUACCGCAUACGAUCUAUGGAUGAAAGCGGGGGAUCGCAAGACCUCGCGCGAUUGGAGCGGCCGAUAUCAGAUUAGGUAGUUGGUGGGGUAAAGGCCCACCAAGCCGACGAUCUGUAGCUGGUCUGAGAGGACGACCAGCCACACUGGGACUGAGACACGGCCCAGACUCCUACGGGAGGCAGCAGUGGGGAAUUUUGGGCAAUGGGCGAAAGCCUGAUCCAGCCAUGCCGCGUGCAGGAUGAAGGCCUUCGGGUUGUAAACUGCUUUUGUACGGAACGAAAAGGACUGCCCUAAUACGGUGGUCCCAUGACGGUACCGUAAGAAUAAGCACCGGCUAACUACGUGCCAGCCGCCGCUGUAACAC